rnacentral:rRNA from 1 species
AAUUUUGGACAAUGGGGGAAACCCUGAUCCAGCCAUCCCGCGUGUAUGAUGAAGGCCNNNGGGUUNUCAAGUACUUUUGGCAGNAAANAAAAGGUAUCCCCUAAUACGGGCUGCUGCUGACUGUAUCUGCAGAUGAAGCACCGGCUAACGACGAGCUAUCAGCCGCGGUAAUACGUAGGGUGCAAGCGUUAAUCGGAAUUACUGGGCUUAAAGCGUGUGUAGGCGGGUCGGAAAGAAAGAUGUGAAAUCCCAGGGCUCAACCUUAGAACUGCAUUUUUAACUGCCGAGCUAGAGUAUGUCAGAGGGGGGUAGAAUUCCACGUGUAGCAGUGAAAUGCGUAGAUAUGUGGAGGAAUACCGAUGGCGAAGGCAGCCCCCUGGGAUAAUACUGACGCUCAGACACGAAAGCGUGGGGAGCAAACAGG